UACGUGCCAGCAGCCGCGGUAAUACGUAUGUCACGAGCGUUAUCCGGAUUUAUUGGGCGUAAAGCGCGUCUAGGUGGUUAUGUAAGUCUGAUGUGAAAAUGCAGGGCUCAACUCUGUAUUGCGUUGGAAACUGUAUAACUAGAGUACUGGAGAGGUAAGCGGAACUACAAGUGUAGAGGUGAAAUUCGUAGAUAUUUGUAGGAAUGCCGAUGGGGAAGCCAGCUUACUGGACAGAUACUGACGCUAAAGCGCGAAAGCGUGGGUAGCAAACAGGAUUAGAUACCCUGGUAGUCCACGCCGUAAACGAUGAUUACUAGGUGUUGGGGGUCGAACCUCAGCGCCCAAGCAAACGCGAUAAGUAAUCCGCCUGGGGAGUACGUACGCAAGUAUGAAACUCAAAGGAAUUGACGGGGACCCGCACAAGCGGUGGAGCAUGUGGUUUAAUUCGACGCAACGCGAGGAACCUUACCAGCGUUUGACAUC
rnacentral:rRNA from 1 species